UUUAAUGGGCACAGUCGUAUUUUUAUGAAUUUUUCUUAUUUAAAUAUUUAUUGUGAAGACUUAUAUGUUAUUAAAUCUUAAGCCUAGUAUGAGAUUAUCCCUUUAGUUGAAAGAUGACACCAUUCUUGUUUUCCACGUGUAGAGACUUAGAAUUGGGUUUAAUCAAAUCAUCAUUGCCAUGCCACCUUGCAUGCUAGUAACAAGUGGUGUUGUGAUAUUAUUUACCAAAGGUGGAUGACUC
rnacentral:lncRNA from 1 species